rnacentral:rRNA from 1 species
GCCAUGCGCGGGAAUUGAUUGUUUGAUCCUGGCUCAGGACGAACGCUGGCGGCGUGCCUAAUACAUGCAAGUCGAGCGAGCUGAAAUCAAAGAUUCCUUCGGGAUGAUUUGUUGGACGCUAGCGGCGGAUGGGUGAGUAACACGUGGGCAAUCUGCCCUGAAGACUGGGAUACCACUUGGAAACAGGUGCUAAUACCGGAUAACAACAUGAAUCGCAUGAUUCAAGUUUGAAAGGCGGCGCAAGCUGUCACUUUAGGAUGAGCCCGUGGCGCAUUAGCUAGUUGGUGGGGUAAAGGCCUACCAAGGCAAUGAUGCGUACCGAGUUGAGAGACUGAUCGGCCACAUUGGGACUGAGACACGGCCCAAACUCCUACGGGAGGCAGCAGUAGGGAAUCUUCCACAAUGGACGCAAGUCUGAUGGAGCAACGCCGCGUGAGUGAAGAAGGUUUUCGGAUCGUAAAGCUCUGUUGUUGGUGAAGAAGGAUAGAGGCAGUAACUGGUCUUUAUUUGACAGUAAUCAACCAGAAAGUCACGGCUAACUACGUGCCAGCAGCCGCGGUAAUACGUAGGUGGCAAGCGUUGUCCGGAUUUAUUGGGCGUAAAGCGAGCGCAGGCGGAAUGAUAAGUCUGAUGUGAAAGCCCACGGCUCAACCGUGGAACUGCAUCAGAAACUGUCAUUCUUGAGUGCAGAAGAAGAGAGUGGAACUCCAUGUGUAGCGGUG